AAAUUACUCCACCUCUUCAUAUUUUUACAAUUGUAACAGCACUAAUUUAAUGAGUAGGCCUCUUACUGACUGACUGCGUUAAUUCAGGCAGUUUGGGCAGGCUGCACAUCAGCAGUGCUCCAGGUGACCUGAUGGUCAGUUUCGGUCAUUAGUUGAUGAAGCUACGAAACACGAAUGUGACAGAAAGGAGCUGUCCAUGUGGUUCAGAGAGGAGGGAAAGGAGAGGAUUAAAGGAAGAAAAAAGACAAAGAUUAUGAACCACACACAGCUGCAUUUCAAGAGACUCUCAGAUGAUGUCCUAAAGAAAAAAGGUCACAGUGCUGAUCAGGAAAGAAACCAAAGCCCAUCUAAUGAACAGUUGGCUUCAUCUCUGCGCACUCAAACCGGUUCGCUACAAGAAGGAUGCGUUCUUUUAUCUGUUAAUUUCCUGCAUAUUUAUGUACCA